rnacentral:rRNA from 1 species
UACGUAGGGGGCAAGCGUUGUCCGGAAUUACUGGGCGUAAAGAGCUCGUAGGUGGUUUGUCGCGUUGUUCGUGAAAACUCACAGCUUAACUGUGGGCGUGCGGGCGAUACGGGCAGACUGGAGUACUGCAGGGGAGACUGGAAUUCCUGGUGUAGCGGUGAAAUGCGCAGAUAUCAGGAGGAACACCGGUGGCGAAGGCGGGUCUCUGGGCCGAUACUGACGCUGAGGAGCGAAAGCGUGGGGAGCGAACAGG